ensembl:lncRNA
GUGAAGGGUGAAAGGGAAAUGGGGAAGAUGGAGUCAGAAGUCUGUUCUCUGCUGGAGAAGAGCAGCAAGUUUGCAAACUAAAGAAGUACUGGUGGGAUUUUAAUUAUUAGUAUGAGCAGUAUUUGGGGGAAAGGAAUGAAAUGUAUGAGUGGUUUCUGUUCUGGGAAAGAAGGAAAGCUGCCAGAGGAGAGGGUUGCUGGGUGUGUGAGACCAGGGAUGGAGGCUGGGGAAAAGUGACACAUUCACAGUGACUGCAGACUCCCUGCAGGAAAGCAGAACACAUAUAACUGGGUUAUGUGCUAUAUAUUAUAUAUAACUGGGUGCUGCUCCCCAAAAUUGCCUGUUUUGCAGAGAAUCUGAAGCUCUGGAGGGUUUGUGUCAUACAUUGCUGUGUAGGAGAGAGAUGGGACAGGAAUUCUGUUCAGGAGAUCCAGAACAGGAGAACAGGGAUGUCAGGCAGGAUCACCAACUCCUUGGAGAGGAAGCACCUCAUGUUUGGAUUUCUCCAGACGAGCUCCUGAACACACAGGGAGGAACUUUGGAUACCCUGCUCAUGCCAGUAGUGAGUGUGAGUUUUUUGUGGUGCAUCCUUGCAUUCGUGGCUGAUCGAAUUAGAUUUUCUAGUCUUUUCAAAUUCUCACCAGAUUUGCUAGUUACAGACCUUUGGCUGUGGAAAGCUCAGGUGUUUCUGCUCCUUCUCCAGGCCAGGGUCUGGAGUGGAAGGCACAAACUGCUGUGGGAACCCCCUGAGGAAGGAGUUUUGGGGAGAUUUUGCUCCCUGGGAUGUGUCUGCAGUUGCACGUGCAGCCCCUCUGCUCGGC